rnacentral:rRNA from 1 species
AAAUCGGAGCGGACCCCCCACCGAAAUUUAACGAUCCCAAAUAAUAGAGGGCAUUGAAUGAUAAACAACAAACAAGAAAAUCAUCCAAAAUAAUACCGUUAACCCCACACUGGUGUACUUCAAGGGAAAGACCAAAAGGAAAAGAAGGAACUCGGCAAAUACCCCAAAGCCUCGCCUGUUUACCAAAAACAUCGCCUCUUGCUAACUACACAUAAGAGGUCCUGCCUGCCCUGUGACCCCUGGUUCAACGGCCGCGGUAUUUUGACCGUGCAAAGGUAGCGCAAUCACUUGUCUCUUAAAUGAGGACCUGUAUGAAUGGCACAACGAGGGCUUAACUGUCUCCUUUUCCCGGUCAGUGAAAUUGAUCUUCCCGUGCAGAAGCGGGAAUCCUAACAUAAGACGAGAAGACCCUAUGGAGCUUUAGACUUUCGAACAGAUCAUGUAAGCUACCCCCAUGAAAUGGGUAAUAACUAUUGAAUUCCUGUUCUCCUGUCUUUGGUUGGGGCGACCACGGGGAAGAAAAAAACCCCCAUGUGGACCAGGAGCACAUUACUCCUACAACCAUGAGCCACAGCUCUAAUGCACAAAACCUUUGACCAUUAGAUCCGGCAAAGCCGAUCAACGGACCAAGUUACCCUAGGGAUAACAGCGCAAUCCCCUUUAAGAGUCCAUAUCGACAAGGGGGUUUACGACCUCGAUGUUGGAUCAAGACAUCCUAAUGGUGCAGCCGCUAUUAAGGGUUCGUUUGUUCAACGAUUAAAGUCCUACGUGAUCUGAGUUCAGACCGG